rnacentral:rRNA from 1 species
UACGAAGGUCCCAAGCGUUAUCCGGAUUUAUUGGGUUAAAGGGUGCGUAGGCGGGCUAUUAAGUCAGUGGUGAAAGCCCCAGCUUAACUUGGGAACUGCCAUUGAUACUGAUGGUCUUGAGUACAUUUGAGGUGGGCGGAAUGUGUCAUGUAGCGGUGAAAUGCUUAGAUAUGGACACAGAACACCGAUUGCGAAGGCAGCGU